UUGGAGGGCAAGUCUGGUGCCAGCAGCCGCGGUAAUUCCAGCUCCAAUAGCGUAUAUUAAAGUUGUUGCAGUUAAAAAGCUCGUAGUUGAAUUUUAGGCCUGGCCGGGCGGUCCGUCUUUGGCGAGUACUGUCUUGUUGUCGGGUCUUCCUUCUGGUGAACCAGUAUGUCCUUUAUUGGGUGUGUUGGGGAGCCAGGACCAUUACCUUGAAAAAAUUAGAGUGUUUAAAGCGGGCUAUUGCUUGAAUAGAUUAGCAUGGAAUAAUAGAAUAGGACGUUGUGGUUCUAUUUUGUUGGUUUCUAGGACCACCGUAAUGAUUAAUAGGGAUAGUUGGGGGCAUUAGUAUUCAAUUGUCAGAGGUGAAAUUCUUGGAUUUAUUGAAGACUAACUAUUGCGAAAGCAUUUGCCAAGGAUGUUUUCAUUAAUCAAGAACGAAAGUUAGGGGAUCGAAGACGAUCAGAUACCGUCGUAGUCUUAACCAUAAACUAUGCCGACUAGGAAUCGGGCGUCGUUAUUUUAAUGACUCGCUCGGCGCCUUACGGGAAAC
rnacentral:rRNA from 1 species